rnacentral:rRNA from 1 species
AACGAACGUUAGCGGCGCGCCUAACACAUGCAAGUCGCCCGAGAAAGGGCUUCGGCCCCGGUAAAGUGGCGCACGGGUGAGUAACACGUGGGUAACCUGCCCUCGAGCGGGGGAUAACAUUCCGAAAGGAGUGCUAAUACCGCAUAAGACCACGACCUCGAAAGAGGACGUGGUCAACGCUGGCCUCUAUACAUAAGCUAGCACUUGAGGAGGGGCCCGCGGCGCAUCAGCUUGUUGGUGAGGUAACGGCUCACCAAGGCUAAGACGCGUAGCUGGUCUGAGAGGAUGAUCAGCCACACUGGAACUGAGACACGGUCCAGACUCCUACGGGAGGCAGCAGUGGGGAAUCUUGCGCAAUGGGCGAAAGCCUGACGCAGCGACGCCGCGUGAGUGACGAAGGCCUUCGGGUUGUAAAGCUCUGUGGGGAGAGACGAAUAAGUGCAGGCUAAUACCCUGCAUGAUGACGGUAUCUUCUUAGCAAGCACCGGCUAACUCUGUGCCAGCCGCCGCAGUAACAC